UUUCUUGAGAAUUUGAUCCUGGUUCAGGAUGAACGCUGGCAGUGUGCCUUAUGCAUGCAAAUCGAACGCUUGUGCGGAGCACAAGGAAAUUCGAAAUCCGAAAUACGAAAUCCGAAACCACUCUUCGCUCUUCGAGCUUCGAGGUGGCAAGCAAACAUUUUAAAUAAUUUGCCUGCCCUUCCGAAGCUUUAGCGAAGGAGGGUUUCGAGAUUCGAGUUUCGUGCUUAGGAUUUUCUCGUGCUUCGCACGAGAGUGGUGGACGGGUGAGUAACACGUGGGAACGUACCCCUUUGUAUAGGAUACCUGUUCGAAAGAGCAGCUAAUACUGUAUAGUCUCGCAAGAGUAAAGUGAGUAACAUCACGCGAAGGGAGCGGCCUGCGGCCUAUCAGCUUGUUGGUGGGGUAACGGCCUACCAAGGCGACGACGGGUAGGGGGCAUGAGAGUGCGACCCCCCACAAUGGAACUGAGACACGGUCCUUAUGUCUACGGACAGCAGCAACAGGGAAUCGUUCGCAAUGGGCGAAAGCCUGACGACGCGACACUGCGUGGAGGAUGAAGGCUCUCGGGUCGUAAACUCCUUUUGACUGGAAAGAACAAAAUGACGGUACCAGUAGAAUAAGCCGCUACUAACUACGUGCCAGAAGUCUCGGUAAUACGUAGGCGGCGAGCGUUAUCCGGAUUCAUUGGGCGUAAAGAGACGUGUAGGCGGUCCUUCGCAUCCCAUUUCAAAUUUCCCGGCUCAACCGGGAGCAGGGGUGGGAGAUGGUCGGACUUUGAAGUCUUUCGGGGCAACUGGAACAGAAGGUGAAGCAGUGAAAUGCGUUGAUAUCUUCUGGAACACCAAUGGCGAAGGCGGGUUGCUAGGAAGUUCUUGACGCUGAGACUCGACAGCUUGGGGAGCGAAGCGGAUUAGAUACCCGCGUAGUCCAAGCCGUAAACGCAUGGGUGCUAGAUUCUCGUCUCGCGGAGAGCGAGACGAGAAAUGAGCAAUGUGCAAUGAGCAAUCUUCAAUAAAUUAGCAAUGAUCAAUUAAAAAAAUGAGUAAUUAAUUACUCAUUAAACAAUUGCUAAUUGACUUAUUGAUUGCUCAUUGAAGAUUGAUGAUUGCUCAUUCUCGUAGAUCGCGCUUUGCGCGAGAUGAGAGUCGUAAGCUAACGCGUUAAGCACCCCGCCUGGGGAGUACGAACGCAAGUUUAAAACUCAAAGGAAUUGACGGGGACCCGCACAAGCAGUGGAGCGUGUGGUUUAAUUCGAUUCAAAGCGAAGAACCUUACCAGGGCUUGACAUGAUGCUGCAAGAGCACGGAAACGUGUUAUCCUCGAGAGUGCAUCAAAGCUGCUGCAUGGCCGUCUUCAGCUCGUUCCGUGAGGAGUACCCUUGAGUGGGUUAACGAGCGCAACCCGCACUCUUUGUUAAAUUAUUCAAAGAGAACUGCCUUGGCAAAACCAGGGAGGAAGGCGCGGAUGACGUCAGGUCAGCACGGUGCUUAUGUCCUGGGCUACACACACCCUACAAUGGCGAAGAACAGCGAGGGGCAAGUCGGCAACGAUGAGCAAAUCUCGGAAAUUUCGCCUCAGUUCAGAUUGGGGUCUGAAACCUGACCCCAUGAAGUUGGAAUUGCUAGUAAUGGCGCAUCAGCAGGGCGCCGUGAAUACGUUCUCGGGUCUUGUACACACCGCCCGUCAAGGCAGCAAAGUCGGCAGUGGCUGAAAAUCUUGCGUUUGCAGGGUUGACGCCAAGGUCGGCGAUGAGGCUUAAGUCGUAUCCUAUAGUGAUAGAACGCGACCUUC
rfam:Candidatus Gottesmanbacteria bacterium RIFCSPHIGHO2_01_FTLL_47_48 rifcsphigho2_01_scaffold_2400, whole genome shotgun sequence.